AGAGUUUGAUCCUGGCUCAGAUUGAACGCUGGCGGCGUGGAUAAGACAUGCAAGUCGAACGGGGUGCAGCUUGCUAAUUGCAUUCUCAGUGGCGGACGGGUGCGUAACACGUGAGCAACCUGCCCUGAAGUGGGGGAUAGCCUUUCGAAAGGAAGAUUAAUACCGCAUGUGGUCUCCGGACCAAAGAUGGCUUCGGCUGUCGCUUCAGAAUCGUCAGAAUGGGCUCGCGGCCUAUCAGCUUGUUGGUGAGGUAACGGCUCACCAAGGCGACGACGGGUAGCUGGUCUGAGAGGACGAUCAGCCACACUGGAACUGAGACACGGUCCAGACACCUACGGGUGGCAGCAGUCGAGAAUCAUUCACAAUGGGGGAAACCCUGAUGGUGCAACGCCGCGUGGAGGAUGAAGGCCCUAGGGUCGUAAACUCCUGUCAUCGGAGAGUAAGGCUUUUCCAAGGUUGAUAGUAUCUCAAGAGGAAGGGACGGCUAACUUCGUGCCAGCAGCCGCGGUAAUACGAAGGUCCCAAGCGUUGUUCGGAAUCACUGGGCGUAAAGCGUGUGUAGGCGGCUUGGUAAGUCAGAUGUGAAAUCUCCGGGCUCAACCCGGAAACUGCAUCCGAUACUGCCAGGCUAGAGUGUCGGAGGGGAGACUGGAAUUCACGGUGUAGCAGUGAAAUGCGUAGAUAUCGUGAGGAACACUAGUGGCGAAGGCGAGUCUCUGGACGACUACUGACGCUCAGACACGAAGGCUAGGGUAGCGAAAGGGAUUAGAUACCCCUGUAGUCCUAGCAGUAAACGGUGCACGUUUGGUGUGGGAGGAUUCGACCCCUUCCGUGCCGGAGCUAACGCGUUAAGCGCGCCGCCUGGGGAGUACGGCCGCAAGGCUAAAACUCAAAGAAAUUGACGGGGACCCGCACAAGCGGUGGAGUAUGUGGCUUAAUUCGAUGCAACGCGAAGAACCUUACCUGGGCUUGACAUGCAUCUCUAAGCGCGUGAAAGCGCGUGACCGGCUUGCCGGAAUUUGCACACAGGUGCUGCAUGGCUGUCGUCAGCUCGUGUCGUGAGAUGUUGGGUUAAGUCCCGCAACGAGCGCAACCCCUGUGUCCUGUUGCCAGCGAGUAAUGUCGGGGACUCUGGACAGACUGCCUGUAUUAAACAGGAGGAGGGUGGGGAUGACGUCAAGUCAGUAUGGCCCUUACGCCUAGGGCUGCACACGUACUACAAUGCUCAGCACAAUGUGAACCGAUACCGCAAGGUGGAGGAAAUCCUGAAAAACUGGGCCCAGUUCGGAUUGUGGGCUGCAACUCGCCCACAUGAAGCUGGAAUCGCUAGUAAUGGCACAUCAGCUACGGUGCCGUGAAUACGUUCCCGGGUCUUGUACACACCGCCCGUCACAUCAUGGAAGCCGGCCGCACCCGAAGUGUCCACGCCAACCGCAAGGAGGCAGGGCCCGAAGGUGUAGCUGGUAACUGGGAUGAAGUCGUAACAAGGUAACC
rnacentral:rRNA from 1 species